CAGUCGCCACGGGAAAACAGAGGGUGCAAGCGUUAAUCGGAAUUACUGGGCGUAAAGCGCGCGUAGGUGGUUUGUUAAGUUGGAUGUGAAAGCCCCGGGCUCAACCUGGGAACUGCAUCCAAAACUGGCAAGCUAGAGUACGGUAGAGGGUGGUGGAAUUUCCUGUGUAGCGGUGAAAUGCGUAGAUAUAGGAAGGAACACCAGUGGCGAAGGCGACCACCUGGACUGAUACUGACACUGAGGUGCGAAAGCGUGGGGAGCAAACAGGAUUAGAUACCCCCGUAGUCCCUGUCUCUUAUAC
rnacentral:rRNA from 1 species